GUCGAUCACAAUUACAGUACUGGGAUUUCGUCUUCCCGAGUGGGAAGCAGUAUAUUCAAGCAAUCUUCGCCAAAAACAUCGCUAUCCUGGCUUAUAGCUUGAUUUGAUGUCCUGCCUUACAGUUUCGCCAAAGUAAACCCGAUGGAAUAUUGACAAUUCGGGUGACAGUUAGAAGUUCGGCAGACAAAACUUCGGCGGAGUUCGGCAUCGGCAUUCUAUUUAAUUUGGUGCUUCGCCGACGCAUAAGGAUUGCCUUUGCCGACGCUAAACUUCGGUGAACUUUUGUCGGUGGUAUUUCAUUUCUCUUAUGAACUUCGGUUAAUCUGAAUAUACGGAAUUCCUAGCUUCCGAAAAGUGAACAA